rnacentral:rRNA from 1 species
UACGGAGGGGGCUAGCGUUGUUCGGAAUUACUGGGCGUAAAGAGCUCGUAGGCGGCUCGUUGCGUCGGCUGUGAAAACCCGCAGCUCAACUGUGGGCUUGCAGCCGAUACGGGCGGGCUGGAGUUCGGUAGGGGAGACUGGAAUUCCUGGUGUAGCGGUGAAAUGCGCAGAUAUCAGGAGGAACACCGGUGGCGAAGGCGGGUCUCUGGGCCGAUACUGACGCUGAGACGCGAAAGCGUGGGGAGCGAACAGG